GCUUGCUUCAGCAGCCCAAAUGCUAAAAUUGGACUGACACAUAGAAGAUUAGCAUGGUCUCUGCACAAUGGUGACAUGCAAAUUCGUGAAGCAUUAUAUUUAUUU